AAUGGCGCGCAAGCCUGAUCAGCCCUGCCGCGUGAUUGAUGAAGGCCCUAGGGUUGUAAAGCUCUUUCGCCAGGGACAAUAAUGACGGUACCUGGUGAAGAAGCCCCGGCUAACUUCGUGCCAGCAGCCGCGGUAAUACGAAGGGGGCUAGCGUUGUUCGGAAUCACUGGGCGUAAAGCGCACGUAGGCGGAUCUUUAAGUCAGGGGUGAAAUCCCGAGGCUCAACCUCGGAACUGCCUUUGAUA
rnacentral:rRNA from 1 species